AUUGAACGCUGGCGGCAGGCUUAACACAUGCAAGUCGAGCGGAGAUGAGGUGCUUGCACCUUAUCUUAGCGGCGGACGGGUGAGUAAUGCUUAGGAAUCUGCCUAUUAGUGGGGGACAACAUUCCGAAAGGAAUGCUAAUACCGCAUACGUCCUACGGGAGAAAGCAGGGGAUCUUCGGACCUUGCGCUAAUAGAUGAGCCUAAGUCGGAUUAGCUAGUUGGUGGGGUAAAGGCCUACCAAGGCGACGAUCUGUAGCGGGUCUGAGAGGAUGAUCCGCCACACUGGGACUGAGACACGGCCCAGACUCCUACGGGAGGCAGCAGUGGGGAAUAUUGGACAAUGGGCGCAAGCCUGAUCCAGCCAUGCCGCGUGUGUGAAGAAGGCCUUUUGGUUGUAAAGCACUUUAAGCGAGGAGGAGGCUACUUGGAUUAAUACUCUAGGAUAGUGGACGUUACUCGCAGAAUAAGCACCGGCUAACUCUGUGCCAGCAGCCGCGGUAA
rnacentral:rRNA from 1 species